AGAGAGAUAGCUGGGUCAAAUGGUGGUUCCUUUCCCAGAUUUCCAAGGAAUCUCCAUACUGCUUUCCAUAUUGGCUGCACCAAUUUGCUGUCCCACCAGCAAU
rnacentral:pre_miRNA from 1 species